rnacentral:rRNA from 1 species
CUGAAGAGUUUGAUCAUGGCUCAGAUUGAACUGGCAGCAGGGGCCUUCAACACAUGCAAGUCGAGCUUAUGAAGGGAGCUUGCCUUGGAUUCAGCGGCGGACGGGUGAGUAAUGCCUAGGAAUCUGCCUGGUAGUGGGGGAUAACGUCCGGAAACGGCCGCUAAUACCGCAUACGUCCUGAGGGAGAAAGUCGGGGAUCUUCGGACCUCACGCUAUCAGAUGAGCCUAGGUCGGAUUAGCUAGUUGGUGGGGUAAGGCCUACCAAGGCGACGAUCCGUAACUGGUCUGAGAGGAUGAUCAGUCACACUGGAACUGAGACACGGUCCAGACUCCUACGGGAGGCAGCAGUGGGGAUUGGACAAUGGGCGCAAGCCUGAUCCAGCCAUGCCGCGUGUGUGAAGAAGGUCUUCGGAUUGUAAAGCACUUUAAGUUGGGAGGAAGGGCAGUAAGUUAAUACCUUGCUGUUUGACGUUACCAACAGAAUAAGCACCGGCUAACUUCGUGCCAGCAGCCGCGGUAAUACGAAGGGUGCAAGCGUUAAUCGGAAUUACUGGGCGUAAAGCGCGCGUAAGUGGUUCAGCAAGCUUGAUGUGAAAUCCCCGGGCUCAACCUGGGAACUGCCAAAAGCUACUGAGCUAGAGUACGGUAGAGGUGGUAGAAUUUCCUGUGUAGCGGUGAAAUGCGUAGAUAGGAAGGAACACCAGUGGCGAAGGCGACCACCUGGACUGUACUGACACUGAGGUGCGAAAGUGGGGAGCAAACAGGAUUAGAUACCCUGUAGUCCACGCCGUAAACGAUGUCGACUAGCCGUUGGGAUCCUUGAGAUCUUAGUGGCGCACGUAACGCGAUAAGUCGACCGCCUGGGGAGUACGGCCCAAGGUUAAAACUCAAAUGAAUUGACGGGGGCCCGCACGCGGUGGAGCAUGUGGUUUAAUUCGAAGCAACGCGAAGAACCUUACCUGGCCUUGACAUGCUGAGAACUUUCCAGAGAUGGAUUGGUGCCUUCGGGAACAGAGACACAGGUGCUGCAUGGCUGUCGUCAGCUCUCGUGAGAUGUUGGGUUAAGUCCCGUAACGAGCGCAACCCUUGUCCUUAGUUACCAGCACCUCGGGUGGGCAUCUAAGGAGACUGCCGGUGACAAACCGGAGGAAGGUGGGGAUGACGUCAAGUCAUCAUGGCCCUUACGGCCAGGGCUACACACGUGCUACAAUGGUCGGUACAAAGGGUUGCCAAGCCGCGAGUGGGAGCUAAUCCCAUAAAACCGAUCGUAGUCCGGAUCGCAGUCUGCAACUCGACUGCGUGAAGUCGGAAUCGCUAGUAAUCGUGAAUCAGAAUGUCACGGUGAAUACGUCCCCGGGCCUUGUACACACCGCCCGUCACACCAUGGGAGUGGGUUGCUCCAGAGCUAGUCUAACCGCAAGGGGGACGGUUACCACGGAGUGAUUCAUGACUGGGGUGAAGUCGUAACAAGGUAGCCGUAGGGGAACCUGCGGCUGGAUCACCUCCUUA